CGCACCUUGCGCUCCUUGGUAUUCCGAGGAGCAUGCCUGUUUGAGUGUCAUGAAAUUCUCAACUGCCCCGAGCUCUUGCAGCCCGCGGGUGAACGUUGGAUUUGGAGGUCUCUGCUGGCGCAUGUGUGGUGGCUCCGUUGCCCCCGCCGUGCUUGUCGGCUCCUACUUGAAUGCAUGAGCUUUCCAAUCCUUUGGCAGAGUAUCGUCGAUGUGAUAAUUAUCUACGUCGUCCGAGAAAGCCGGCAAGGGGAAAUCUUUGAUCACGUCGGGGCAACCCGCGUCUGACAAAUUCGACCUCAAAUCAGGUAGGACUACCCGCUGAACUUAA
rnacentral:rRNA from 1 species